AAUAAAUAAAAGUAAUGUAACAGUGUAUUUUUUGCACAAAUAGGAAUUGGUAUGUAUUAAUGUUAGGGAAAGGAAGAAGUUGAAUUAUUAUUAUUUUUCUGUGGUUAACAACGAUUAAUCGCAUUAUGUGCAAAAUGCAAUAUUGAGGCAGCGUGAGGAUCUAUUUCUCUUCAUACAGGCUUUAUGGCUUCUCCUUUUCUUUAUGAUCAGGAACCAGAAUAAACAUUAGUCUUUGAUGACGAGCAGCACGAUGCUUAAUGCAGAAUAUGUUCAGUAGUCAGAGUCUCUGUUAGAGGAGCUGAAGGUCUAGAACAAAAAAAAACUUCAGUCUGUAAAGACUGUGGAUUUCCUUUGAAUCUCAGUCAGAGAACACAAAAAUUAAACCGGUAUAUAAAUAUAAAUAUAAAUAUAUAUAUAUAUAUACACACACACACACAUCAUUCAACCACUCUCACACUGAUGAGCAGCUUCCUGCCGUCAGUAACUAAUAUUCACUCCAUUCUCACUCUGUGGUCACAGCUACAGGAGCAAUGCUGGGUUAUCGUUUGUUCUGCUGAUCACUGGUCUUGUUUGCAAAGCAGAGAUAAAAUAAAGGAACCAGUAGAGCUGCUGUCAGUCCCAGUGCACAGUAGAGGCCGAUCCUUCCCCGAGGAUCUCUUCUCAGUCUGGUGUCACUCGAUGUCUCAGGUUCGGGUCGAUCCUUCACUGCUGCAAAGAGACACAACAAAUCUGUUUAUUCAUGUAAAGAAAAAGGUUUAUUUAUCUGAAUAAAGCUGCUGAAUUAAACGUGUUAGUAAGUUUAACUUAAUGAACCUACCAGUGACAUUGAGGUGACAUUCCUUAUAGUUCCUCCCAUAACUUGUGUCCACUUGACACCAGUACAGCCCCGAGUCAUUAGUCUGGAGUCUGGAGAUGUGAAGUCUGAGUCGUCCUUCUCUGAGGACGUCUUUGUCCCACUGGACUCGUCCUGCAAAGCGUUCAUCCUGCAGCUCUGGUACCUCGACACCUUCAUACAGAUGAAACAGGACUGAGUGUAUCUGAUUAAUUACCGUCUCA
ensembl:lncRNA